AUUGAACGCUGGCGGCGUGCUUAACACAUGCAAGUCGAACGAAGUGGCGAACGGGUGAGUAACGCGUAAUCAACCUGCCCUUCAGAGGGGGACAACAGUUGGAAACGACUGCUAAUACCGCAUACUGAAGGAGGGGAUUGCGUCUGAGUAGCUAGUGGGAGGGGUAACGGCCCACCAAGGCGAUGAUCAGUAGCCGUUCUGGUGUGCUGAACGACCACAUUGGGACUCAGACACGGCCCAGACUCCUACGGGAGGCAGCAGUGGGGAAUCGUCCGCAAUGGACGAAAGUCUGACGGAGCAACGCCGCGUGAGUGAUGACGGCCUUCGGGUUGUAAAGCUCUGUUAAUCGGGACGCGGUACCGGAAUAGAAAGCCACGGCUAACUACGUGCCAGCAGCCGCGGUAAUAC
rnacentral:rRNA from 1 species